rnacentral:rRNA from 1 species
UCUUGGUCAAUUAGAGGAAGUAAAAGUCGUAACAAGGUCUCCGUAGGUGAACCUGCGGAGGGAUCAUUACACAAAUAUGAAGGCGGGCUGGAACCUCUCGGGGUUACAGCCUUGCUGAAUUAUUCACCCUUGUCUUUUGCGUACUUCUUGUUUCCUUGGUGGGUUCGCCCACCACUAGGACAAACAUAAACCUUUUGUAAUUGCAAUCAGCGUCAGUAACAAAUUAAUAAUUACAACUUUCAACAACGGAUCUCUUGGUUCUGGCAUCGAUGAAGAACGCAGCGAAAUGCGAUAAGUAGUGUGAAUUGCAGAAUUCAGUGAAUCAUCGAAUCUUUGAACGCACAUUGCGCCCUUUGGUAUUCCAAAGGGCAUGCCUGUUCGAGCGUCAUUUGUACCCUCAAGCUUUGCUUGGUGUUGGGCGUCUUGUCUCUAGCUUUGCUGGAGACUCGCCUUAAAGUAAUUGGCAGCCGGCCUACUGGUUUCGGAGCGCAGCACAAGUCGCACUCUCUAUCAGCAAAGGUCUAGCAUCCAUUAAGCCUUUUUUCAACUUUUGACCUCGGAUCAGGUAGGGAUACCCGCUGAACUUAAGCAUAUCAAUAAGCCGGAGGA